ensembl:lncRNA
CCUACGUUUUCAAUAAAGGUGCACAGGCAAUGGCCACUGUUUGGCAAAUGCCAGACUGCUGCUUCCCUGCUGCAAGGCAUUACGUGGAACUUCUCGUUCUGUGAACAGACGUUUACUCAGAGCCUCACAAGCUCCCAAUCCUAAAACACUCCCCAGAACACAUGAAGCCCAGCUAAGCACUCCUUAAAGCCUGUUGCACAGCAUUCAUGUUCUUAGAAAACAUAACGCACUGUUCCAGCUCCAUGGAACGUUAGUGUGUGUGUGUUUUUAUUUUAACAGUCCUUAGAAGCACAGGGUCUCGACGCAUAAAAAAGACCCCUCCCUUUCACACCCGCCAGGCCCGACACCCCUCACACUCAGGGAGAAAGAGCUGAGAAGGAGCAGGGCUUGAAAAAUCUCCCGAGAAAACAGAAACAAUGACCAGAGAGGAGAGACGCUAGGCUAGACAGACCUCACUAGCCUUGUCUAGUCUAAACCCAGGGCCUCGCUUCUGUGACUUUUAUUUUGCAGUCAUGUGCUUCUGGUCCUUGUGUCUAUAUCUCUGCCCCUCAACUGUUUCUACUUAUUUCAUUUGUCAUCCUGUUCAUUGUCUCAUUGAUUUCACCUGCCCCUCGUUUUUGUCUUAUGGCCUGUUCUUGACCAGUUCAUGGUCUGUCAUUGAUCGUGUUUGCACCACACUGUUACACUCGCCUGUAUCUUGUAUGUGCUAUAAGUAAAGAUUCCUCUUGGUAUACCUUACAACAUGUUUUCCACUUUGGUCCAACACUCUGUUAUAGAACGACAGACCCGAAGAUGGACCCAGCAAACACACAAGUCUCUAGGGAGGAGAUGGAGGGGAUGAGGUCUACCUUGGGGAUUUGGCAGAAGAUCUUGUUAGAUAACACCUCUACCUUUGAGCAUAGGCUGGCGGGAUUGACAGUCUUGGAGGGGACAAUUUCAUGGACUGCUCUUGGGAACUUUAGAGGUGGCCGAGGUUGUUUUUUGCUGUUGUGGAUGUUGGGAGGAGCUUCCCUUGAUUCAUUCCAUGGUUCCUUACAUUACAUUUUAGCAGACACUUUUAUCUAAGGCAAGUUACAAGUGAGGAACAACACUCAAGCUUCAGUACAGUAGGAGACCUUUGGAGUAAGCACCAAGUACUCUAUUCAAUAACUCAAAGUGCAAGGAUGAUCAGGUAAAUGAGUGCACAGUAAGUGUGAGUUAGGCAUUUUAUGGUGUUAGAGGUGUUAGGAGAGGAGGUGUUCUUGGGGGACAUGAGUCUUCAAGAGACUCUUGAAGAUCGAGAGGGAUCCCCUUGCUCUGAUUGCAUUUGGUAGCUCGUUCCACCAUCAGGGAACUGCGAAAGAGAACAAUUUGGACAGAGAUUGCCUAGUAUGUACGGAUGGCAAUGUCAGAUGGCAUUCCUUGGAGGAACGGAGAGGCUAAAAAGAACAAGCAUAAGCCUGUAUGAUUGAGUUACAAUUGGAAGGGUGCAGUCCCCUGAAUUUGAUCCGGAUGGCCAUGGGCAGCCAGUGGAAGUUGAUGAACAGUGGAGUGAAGUGCCCUUUUGGGUUGGUCGAAAACCAGACGUGCCACCACAUUCUGGACCAUCUGUAAGGGUUUCACUGUACAUGCUGGGAGACCCACUGAAAGGACAUUGCAGUAGUCGAGGCGAGAUAACCGUGGCUUGUACGAAGAGUUGGGUGGCAUACCGAGUCAGGUAAGACUUUUCUUAUGUUGUAUAGUGUAAAGCGGCACUGCCGGGAAACAGACACAACAUGAUCAGAGGUGGGUGGCUAGGCAUUAAUCAUAAUAUUUUUGGCAUAACUACAUUGUAUCCAGAUUGAUUUUUUGAAAUGCAACUCAAAUCAGAUUUCUACAGAUGCAUCUUACACUGAUUACAAGGAAAAGGGCCAAAGAACUUGACUGAUUUAUUCAUUGCUUCUACACUGCUAUAGAGGGUGGGAGACAAGUUGCAUAGGUUGAGAUGGAAUCAGUGGACAUCAGUGGAGGUGGAACAGAGGGCUGUUCCAGCGGUCAUAGAUGCAGAGGCCUGAGUGUUAAACAGUCUGUGGCACAGUGUUGAGGUCAAGGUCAAGUUGUUUGCCGGCUUUGUAAGUCGGAGGGCUGCAAACCCAAUUUAGGCUCAUCCAUUUAGAGCUGGGAUUGUCUAAAUGGAUGUUCAUGUCACCUAGGAUGAGUAGCGGACAGCCAUGUUUGUGGAUGGAAGACAACAGUGCUAGCUCAUCCUCAAAAUCACCCAUUUGUGCUGGUGGAUAGUAAAUGACAACCACAGAGACUUUUACCGGAACAGUCACCAUCAGCAUGGUAAAGGCAAUGGCAUAUUUGUUUGGAGGAAACAGUGUUCGCAGAGUAGAUUUCCAUUUGUUGGAAACUAGUAAGCUAGUCCCACCUCCUCGCCCGAACAGACGGGAGGUAAGGGAGCGUGUAUUAGUUAGUGGAGAGCGCAGCAGUGUUUUCUGGUUUGACCCAAGUCUCAGUGAGAGCCAGUAGCUCAAGGGAUAGCUGGUUAGCAUAGGCAGGAAUUAAAUCAGCUUAGUUCUGAUCUCGGAAGCUAAGCAGUGCUGGGCCUGGUUAGUACUUGGAUGGGAGACCACCAGGUGCUGAAGCUAGGGGGGGCAUUCCCUCGCUCAGUGGAAUUACUGGAUUACCAAAACGUCAAGAACAAGUGGAUACCAAAUCCGGUGGAAACUCGCUAUCGAUGGCCUUUGCUCCACUAUGGAGUGAGAAGGCGAACAUGACAUGAGUUCCACAACCCAACAGAGAAGGAGGCACAUGUGGAUGAGGAUUGUUGCAAUGACUGGCAGUUAGCCAGAUUUCUUUGCCUUUUAGCAUUGUUAUACUUUUUGCAUUUACCAGAGACAACGGGAAUGGAGUAGAGGCACAUGGCUUAUAGUGGCAGGCACAGACAGAGUUUAAAUUCUCAGGGCAAAUAGGACAGUUUGCCUUGUCCAGUGGCCUUGCUUGGUGGUCUUUACCCAAGUAGGUCUUCACACGAGGACGGCUACACAGGAGGGCUGACACGUCAGCGACAGCCUCUGUUGAUGAUAUAGCAGGAGCUUAAUUGAAUGCAGCUGUUCACGUGUCAGGACUGAUUGCACCCAGCUAUGUACGCCCUCCAGGUUAGCAACACAAAACGUUUGAACACGGUCACGUGCCCCCAAACUUGCAAUAACCGGCUAGAACUUGCAGCAAUAAUGUGCAAUUAAUGUGCAUGCAGUGCUAGGGUAUCACACAGGAAUAUUUGUGGAUGAAAUUGAAAUUAGCACUCAUGUCUAGCCUAGCCCCUGAGUCAGACAACGUUCAGCCUGAUCCAGCCGCCACGGUUCUCUGAACUGCUGUCCCCCCCAGCUCAGCAAUUUCAGAGCCAGGUACGAACUUGGAGGGAAGAACUUUUAGCGGAGGGGCUCCCAGCUCUUGUUCAACUCAGCAUAGGGACAGUGGUGUUGAAUCCAACUGCUGCAGAGAUGACAAUGAUGUGUCCCUCAAUUGCCAAGGUUCAUGGAUGUUCUGCUGCCCAGCAAGUUGGCUGACAUCUAACCUGUUCCUGAGUCUGUUCCCAAGCCUGUCCUGCCUCUGGGUCGCCCGCCAGAGCUGUCUCGCCACUCUGACCUGCCUCUGGGUCGUCCGCCUGAUCGGCCGACCUUUUGAGCGGCUAUCCUUUUGGCUUUCUUUUGGCUUUGUUUCGGAGGGCUGCCUGAGAGCCUGGGCUCUGUAACAGUCUGCACCUUGUUCUGGAACUUUUAUUUUGCAGAAUCUUGUGCUUCUGUUCCUUGUGUGUCUGUCUCCAUCGCUCACCUGUUUCUGCUUAUCUCAUUUAUCAUCCUAUCCUGUUCAAUGUCUGCAUUGAUUUCACCUGCCCCUUGCUGUCGCUGUCCUAUGAUCUGCUUCCCCUGUUUAGUUUCCCUUUGCAUUUAAGCCCAUUGAAUUGGAAUAGAAUUGAACUGGAAUUAUAAAUAGGUUUGAGCCCGAGAUUAUGGAAGAUGCAUCAAUUAUCCUCGUGAUGAAUUUGUCUCUUUUUCAGCUAAAGACAUGUGGGAUGCUGGUGUGUUAUAUGGAUUACAAUGAGCAAACAGAAGACAAUCCUGCAUUAAACCUCUAUUGGUCCACCUCCUGGUGAGGUGCUUACUCAGCUAAAGCAUGCAACAGGUCAGCUAAAAUGGCUACAGAGGAAAAGGUAUAUCUUGACUAACAUAUAACAUGGGUGGCUACAUACGCUAAGCUACAUAUAGUGGUCAGUAAUGGACAGUGGUCUCAUCUGGGAGUUACUGCUCUAGCUGUGCAGGCCACAUUUCUAAUUCUGCAACCGGUCUUUCCCAUGCUUGUGGCGAUAUAUUAGAGCCUUCUUCUGCCUCUCUGCAAAACACAAAGCACACACAUACUCUCUCACACAAAUACAUACAGACUCUGUCUCUUCAAAAAACAUUUAGGCUAUUUGGGGACAAACAUAAAUUCUCUGCUUUGUACAUCAAUGGAGGACACACACCCACAAGCAUUCAGCGCAGCACAGACACACACACACAAAACCAAAGCAAGUCCUUGAAGACAUGCACAGACACACACACACUUUCAAUUCCAUAAACACAGGUAGAGACACACAAGCACACACAAGUCUCGUACACAAGACUAAGUACGCCUGCAGACAUGUACACAUACACACACAUAAUAACAUGUGAACACACACACACACACACACACACACACACACACACACGCUCAAACACACUCAGAUGAUGUUGUUAUGAAGUGGACUGCACAGUGAUUGAAGCGGCCCUUCAGACCCUUCUGAUGAAGACUGUGCACACGCGCAGGGUUGCCACGGCACCCAGUGACAUUCAAAGACGUCAUGGGGGAGGGGGCAAUAAAGGUCUGGAUGGUCGUCAUUCGUUCUAAUUAUAAACCCCUGAAAGUGGAAGAGGAGGAGACAUUGAGAGCCAAAGAGGGAAGGAAAAAAAAUAAGGGGGCAAAACAUGCAGGAGAGAAAAAAAUAACAACUGAAGGGAGGAGGAAACAAGGACAGAGGAGAAGAGAAGAGAAGAGAAGAGAGCUGGAAGAAAGACAGAGAGAAAGAGAUACUCGGAAACCAAGAAUCCACAGGUUGUUCUUUCCCAUUUACUUUCAAAAGAAGACUCAAGAGGCUCUUUACAGAGACCAGCUCAAGAGGCUCUUUACAGACCGACACAAAGUGACUGACAUAAGCCAUCUCUCAUCUUUUACCGUACACAACCGUCUGUUCUCUUCUGUACACCUGCCAGACAGCAGCUGAUCUGCAUGCUUCUGCUCUAAAGUCUGCUGCCAUUCGGGUUCUGUUAGCUGCAAGCAAAACAUUUCUGCGUAUAGCAGGAACGAUGUAUGAGGGUAAUCUGGUGUUCUCAAAGUCAGCAGCACGUUGGCAAGCCUCCCGUGUUUGGAGCAAGUAGUCACCUUACUUAAAUGUAAACAUCUCAGAUUUUUCCAUUCCCCAAGCAAUGCUAGCAGCAUGCUCCCACUGUUCCAUUGUGGUGUUAAGUAUGCGUGCCUGAGCCAGUUUAAUGUAACGCCCUUUGGGAAAAAUGGCUGCCCCAGACAAAAAUGGCUGCCAUCCACCACCACAAUGACCAACAUUUCCAGGUUGGAAAACAGUACAAUUACUGUUUAAAAACAGUGUCAUUUGCAUGCAUGUACUCAUGCCAAAAUCAACACAAUUACAUGCAAAUCAAGGAAAAUAUGUCUCAAUCUCAGCAUGUAGGCCAUUUUGUGUAAUAGAAUAGCAUAGGGCGCUAGAGGGAGCCAGUAUUAUCUGGAAGCUUCCUUACCUGAGUGGUUGGGAGAAUUCAUGGAUGGCCGGUUCUCUUGGGCUGCUGUCCUCACUCUCCUCUCGGUGUGGAGGCAGUGAAGCAGGCCAGAGAAGGUGAUUAUGGCCUGAGUCUGUGUGUGUGUGUGUGUGUGUGUGUGUGUGUGUGUGUGUGUUGGAGGCCCUAAAGUGGGUCCUCGGUGUCAGCCAUGACCUCAGGCCUCAGAAGCGAUGGAGAUGUGACACUGGGGAAUCAGAGGAAGAGGGAAUGAGAUGAGAGGAUGAGAAGAAAUAAUGAGAAGCAACACAAGAGAAGGUGGGGAGGAGAGAAGAAACAGACAGGGGGGAGAAAGGAGCAGGAGGAGUGGAGAGAGAGAGAGAGAGAGAGAGAGAGAGAGAGAGAGAGAGAGAAAGGGGGUAAAAGAGCAAAGACAGAGGACAAAAAUAAAAAAAGGUUAGAAAAGAAUUGAAGUAAGCAGAAUAGAAACAAGGAGAGGACAAGGAGAGGAGGACAGGAGAGGAGAGGAAAGGAGAGGAGGAGAGGAAGGAGAGGAAAGGAGAGGAGGAGAGGAAGGAGAGGAAAGGAGAGGAGGGG